rnacentral:rRNA from 1 species
CCUACGGGGGGCAGCAGUGGGGAAUAUUGGACAAUGGGGGGAACCCUGAUCCAGCCAUGCCGCGUGUGUGAAGAAGGCCCUCGGGUUGUAAAGCACUUUCAGUGAGGAAGAACGCCUGGUGGUUAAUACCCAUCAGGAAAGACAUCACUCACAGAAGAAGCACCGGCUAACUCCGUGCCAGCAGCCGCGGUAAUACGGAGGGUGCGAGCGUUAAUCGGAAUUACUGGGCGUAAAGCGCGCGUAGGUGGCUUGAUAAGCCGGUUGUGAAAGCCCCGGGCUCAACCUGGGAACGGCAUCCGGAACUGUCAAGCUAGAGUGCAGGAGAGGAAGGUAGAAGUCCCGGUGUAGCGGUGAAAUGCGUAGAGAUCGGGAGGAAUACCAGUGGCGAAGGCGGCCUUCUGGACUGACACUGACACUGAGGUGCGAAAGCGUGGGUAGCAAACAGGAUUAGAUACCCCAGUAGUC